rnacentral:rRNA from 1 species
UAGUGGCGACGGGUGAGUAACGCGUGAGGAACCUGACCCUUCAAUGGGGGAACAACAACUAGAAAUGGUUGCUAAUACCGCAUAAUGUCGGAGAGCCGCAUGACUUUCGGACCAAGGAUUUAUUCGCUGAAGGAUGGCCUCGCGUCCGAUUAGAUAGUUGGUGAGGUGACGGCCACCAAGUCUGCGAUCGGUAGCCGAACUGAGAGGUUGAUCGGCCACAUUGGGACUGAGACACGGCCCAGACUCCUACGGGAGGCAGCAGUGGGGAAUAUUGGGCAAUGGGCGAAAGCCCUGACCCAGCAACGCCGCGUGAAGGAUGACGGUCUUCGGAUUGUAAACUUCUUUAAUUGGGGAAGAACAAAAUGACCUACCCAAAGAAUAAGUCACGGCUAACUACGUGCCAGCAGCGGC